rnacentral:rRNA from 1 species
UAUGUGAUCGUCUCUCGCAUAUCAAUAAGCGGAGGAAAAGAAACUAACAAGGAUUCCCCUAGUAACGGCGAGUGAAGCGGGAAGAGCUCAAAUUUGAAAUCUUAAAGGGUUUCCCUUUACGAAUUGUAGUUUAAAGAAGUGUUUUCUGUUGAGGUUUUGGUAAAAGUUCUUUGGAAUAGGACAUCAUAGAGGAGUGAGAAUCCCGUAUUUGACCUUUACUUUCAACUUUGUGAUACACUUUCAAAGAGUCGGAUUGUUUGGGAAUGCAGUCCAAAAUGGGUGGUAAAUUUCAUCUAAAGCUAAAUAUUGGCGAGAGACCGAUAGCGAACAAGUACCGUGAGGGAAAGAUGAAAAGAACUUUGAAAAGAGAGUUAAACAGUACGUGAAAUUGUCAAAAGGGAAGCGUUUGACACCAGUGUUGUUUUUCUGAAAAUCAAUUAAAGAACUGUUUAUGCUAAGUUGUUUAGACUUUAUCAGCUAACUGUUUAGUUUUGAGCUUUUCUUUAAUGCACUUUUCAGUUAACAAGUCAACAUCAAUUUCUUUUGCUGUAAAAAAGCUUGAGGAAGGUGGCUUGAGAUUCGUCUUAAGUGUUUAUAGCCUCUUGCCUAUGCAGUCGGAGAGAUUGAGGUCUGCAGCGUAGAUCCUUCGGGGCUAAAUGCAUUUGUGCUAAGUUAUAGCAUUUUAUAGACAACUUGUUGACUAUGAUUUGUCUUGUAGCUUACUCGCUUAUGUUAUUUUACCUACGCUUAGGAUGUUGACUGAUAUGUAGUCGUA